rnacentral:sRNA from 1 species
CCCUCCUUGAGUGCCAUGGGUUGGGGGGGUACUGUUACCCACACUGUUUUGCAGGUAGGGAACCUGAGGCCCAGAGAAGUUGUGGCUUGGGCGUUGCUGUUGAGUUGUGUGAUGGGGGGAGGGUUAGCCCAGGGCCCGUAUACAACAGGCGCUCAAUCUCCAGUCUGGCCUGAGAUGGGAGGAUACCUAGAUACCUGGAGGCCAGGCUGGGCCGCUCCAACAGGGACUCAGGCAGCGACUGGAACUUAGAACCCACCUGACUGGGGCCCGGAGCCCGCUGGCCAAUCACAGGCCAGGAACGCCCAUUCCCCCACCCUGCUUGUGAAGCAAUAAUCCAAGAUCUCCUGGGGCAGACAGUCUGGCCACAGCGUGUUUCUCUGUGGCCCCAUGCGGGGCGACCUUGCUACCCAGGCCCACAGUAGGCUGUAUGCGAAGAGCCUGCGCCUCUGCCUCCAAGAAGGCCUCCAGGUUUCUGCAAAUGCGUGAAUGAGCCGGAUGCCAGCCUCUGUCCCCUGGAGCCCAGCGUGAGGAAGAGGCAUGCCCCAUCAGCCUUCAGCUUGAGCC